GACGAACGCUGGCGGCGUGCUUAACACAUGCAAGUCGAACGGAAAGGCCCUGCUUUUGUGGGAUGCUCGAGUGGCGAACGGGUGAGUAACACGUGAGUAACCUGCCCUUGACUUUGGGAUAACUUCAGGAAACUGGGGCUAAUACCGGAUAGGAGCUCCUGCUGCAUGGUGGGGGUUGGAAAGUUUCGGCGGUUGGGGAUGGACUCGCGGCUUAUCAGCUUGUUGGUGGGGUAGUGGCUUACCAAGGCUUUGACGGGUAGCCGGCCUGAGAGGGUGACCGGCCACAUUGGGACUGAGAUACGGCCCAGACUCCUACGGGAGGCAGCAGUGGGGAAUAUUGCACAAUGGGCGGAAGCCUGAUGCAGCAACGCCGCGUGCGGGAUGACGGCCUUCGGUUUGUAAACCGCUUUCGCCUGUGACGAAGCGUGAGUGACGGUAAUGGGUAAAGAAGCACCGGCUAACUACGUG
rnacentral:rRNA from 1 species